AUUGAACGCUGGCGGAAUGCUUUACACAUGCAAGUCGAACGGCAGCACGGGGCAACCUGGUGGCGAGUGGCGAACGGGUGAGUAAUACAUCGGAACGUGCCCAAUCGUGGGGGAUAACGUAGCGAAAGUUACGCUAAUACCGCAUACGAUCUACGGAUGAAAGCGGGGGAUCGCAAGACCUCGCGCGAAUGGAGCGGCCGAUGUCAGAUUAGGUAGUUGGUGGGGGUAAAGGCUCACCAAGCCGACGAUCUGUAGCUGGUCUGAGAGGACGACCAGCCACACUGGGACUGAGACACGGCCCAGACUCCUACGGGAGGCAGCAGUGGGGAAUUUUGGACAAUGGGCGCAAGCCUGAUCCAGCCAUUCCGCGUGCAGGAUGAAGGCCUC
rnacentral:rRNA from 1 species